AUUGAACGCUGGCGGCAUGCCUUACACAUGCAAGUCGAACGGUAACGGGCCUUCGGGUGCCGACGAGUGGCGAACGGGUGAGUAAUGCAUCGGAACGUACCUUUCAGUGGGGGGAUAACGUAGCGAAAGUUACGCUAAUACCGCAUAUUCUGUGAGCAGGAAAGCAGGGGAUCGCAAGACCUUGCGCUGAUUGAGCGGCCGAUGUCAGAUUAGCUAGUUGGUGAGGUAAAGGCUCACCAAGGCGACGAUCUGUAGCGGGGUCUGAGAGGAUGAUCCGCCACACUGGAACUGAGACACGGUCCAGACUCCUACGGGAGGCAGCAGUGGGGGAAUUUUGGACAAUGGGGGCAACCCUGAUCCAGCCAUGCCGCGUGAGUGAAGAAGGCCUU
rnacentral:rRNA from 1 species